rnacentral:rRNA from 1 species
UACGUAGGCAGCGAGCGUUGUUCGGAGUUACUGGGCGUAAAGAGUGCGUAGGCGGUUUUUCUAAGUUUGGUGUGAAAUCUCCCGGCUUAACUGGGAGGGUGCGCCGAAAACUGGAAGGCUUGAGUAUGGGAGAGGUAAGCGGAAUUCCUGGUGUAGCGGUGAAAUGCGUAGAUAUCAGGAGGAACAUCAGUGGCGAAGGCGGCUACCUGGCCCAAUACUGACACUCAGGUGCGACAGCGUGGGGAGCAAACAGG